rnacentral:rRNA from 1 species
CUACGUGCCAGCAGCCGCGGUAAUACGGAGGGUGCGAGCGUUAAUCGGAAUAACUGGGCGUAAAGGGCACGCAGGCGGUUAUUUAAGUGAGGUGUGAAAGCCCCGGGCUUAACCUGGGAAUUGCAUUUCAGACUGGGUAACUAGAGUACUUUAGGGAGGGGUAGAAUACCACGUGUAGCGGUGAAAUGCGUAGAGAUGUGGAGGAAUACCGAAGGCGAAGGCAGCCCCUUGGGAAUGUACUGACGCUCAUGUGCGAAAGCGUGGGGAGCAAACAGGAUUAGAUACCCUGGUAGUCCACGCUGUAAACGCUGUCGAUUUGGGGAUUGGGCUUAAAGCUUGGUGCCCGUAGCUAACGUGAUAAAUCGACCGCCUGGGGAGUACGGCCGCAAGGUUAAAACUCAAAUGAAUUGACGGGGGCCCGCACAAGCGGUGGAGCAUGUGGUUUAAUUCGAUGCAACGCGAAGAACCUUACCUACUCUUGACAUCCAUGGAAUCCUGUAGAGAUACGGGAGUGC